rnacentral:lncRNA from 1 species
CAGCAUAUUGUUUUUAUUGUGCAUUCAUUAUAAAAUAUAAGUAUAUAUAAAUUAAUUAUAAAAUUAAUUAUAAAACUUAUUUUCCCCUUUGGAGCAUUAAAAAUUCCUCUUUGCCCUGAUUCCUAUGGAAAUUUUGGCAAGGAUUGGAGCAAUCCUGUGGCUGAUCACUCUCUGCUGUUGUUUUACCCCUCUUGUGUGGCACUGAACCUUUCUUUCAGCUCCUUUCUUUCUUGCUGCAGCUUCAGGAGACCAAAUCCACGUGGAGGUGAAAUCUGAACGAUCUUCAUAAUUCCCUCAAAAUUUCAAGUUCUCGCCAGGUCAUCCUUCAGCCAUGAAGUUUUGGGAAUCCCCCUAAAUUAAUUCGGUAUUUUUAUGUCUGAAAAAAGAGGAGGGUGGUGGCUGGGUUCUGUAUAUUGGAACAGGAUGAGAUUGGAGAGCAGGAAUGAGGAGCAAAGAUUUAUCACAAGGCAGAAACAACUCCAACAGCAGGUGUGGAAAGGCACAACCCCUGCCUUUUACAAAACCCUUUCCUCCUGCUGAGCUGUUCCAACCAAACCACGGGAUAACGUGUCAGGACUCGACUCCAAAAGCAUUCCACAGGUAUUCCGGGAAUCCUGACAGCUUUGUCAGCUCAGGGACUGAGAGCUGCUGGGUCUGGCCUCACUUGAGCACCCAAAGUUGUGGAAUAUUGGGAUUAUAUUUCAUUGCAGGGCCCAGGUGGGAGCUCUUUGCUUGUUUCCUCUGGUUCAUCAAGGAAUUUCAUCACGAAGUUCAUUUUCCAGCCUCUUUUUUUUUUUUUUUUCUUUUUUGCUUCCAUCGCUGGUUUUGUUGUGCCCCUGCCAGGCUGUGCAGGCAGAGGUCGUGCCCAGGUUCUCACAUUCCUGCUCCUUGCAGCGGCAUCCCGGGAAAAGAUGAUUUUCCUGACAGGAGGAGGGAUGAGUAACCAGCAGUGGCAGCAUCUCCGAGCAGCUGUGCCAUGGAUUUUUGCCCUGAGAUUUGUGGAAUCUGGCAGAACACCGAGCCAAGCUCUCGGCACAGCUGUCCCUGCCACUUCCCGGGAAAU